AGGGAUAUAUCUCAACGGUAGAGGGUCAACUUGACGUGGUGGAAUUCAUAGGUCGAGCCUGAUUAUCCCUA
rnacentral:tRNA from 2 species